CGGUUCCCUUGCCGCCGCCAUCGUCGACAAGUCCAGCCGCCGCCAUCACCUCUCUAUUUCUGUUGAUGGUGGCCAGCCGCUGGGUCGCGCAGAGGAGAAGAGGCAGAACCGUGCCCAACCACCGCCGCUUCUGCCGCCAAGAAACCCCGAUGUGCCUCUGGUUGCCGGGAGACGGUGUGGUUGCUGCAGGAGGUAGCCGCCGGAGCCGCUGCUCCAUUCUGCCAUUCCUUUUUAUUACAGUUUGUUGCUGAGCCACUAGAGCUUCUGGCCACUGACGGAGCCGUUGCUAGGCUGAUAUAGAGCUGUGGCUGCCCUAUUUUGUUAUUUCAGAGCUAGAAUCCGGUUUGCUUGUGCCUUUGGGGCUGUUUCUGCUUUUGAGAGAGCAAGCAUAGCCGAGAUUUUGAUUGCCAGUGAUUUCGGGUCGAGAUAAAAGGAGUUGGUUAACGAGUUGGGUUGUGGUUCCAAUGUUGUGAGGAUUUGGGCGCAGAAGUUAUGAAGAGUUUAAUUAUUUGUUAUUGAGAUGCUCUGUAUUGCUUUAGAUUAUUAUUUUUGUACCCUCGCCUUUAUCUUGAUAUAUUCUGUGAGAGGGAUAGGAAUUGUACUGGAUAAUGUUUGUAAUAUUAUUUAUAUAUAUGUAUGUAUAUAUAUAUGGAUGUACUCUU